ACCCCAGCUCACCUGGGCUGCAGAAAAUUGAGCCCAAGAUGAGCUCCUUGGAAAUGUUAACAAUUUAAAUUGAUGAAAAAUUAACAGAGGCCCCAGCAGUCACCCUCAUUCUUGGAUAAAAAGACUAUGAAGAAAUUGGCUUGACCUGAGUUAACGAGAUGUUUUGCAAGAACUAGGGAGAGAUGAGAAGUAGGGAGAGCCUAUUUUUGAGAAGAUGGCCCUGUUGAUGAAACAGAACUUGACGGGCAGAAUACACACCAAUUAUGAGGUCACUGAAUCUUCUCAGGAAAGAAGGUGACAGAGCACUGUAUAUGAAGAGACAUGAAGAGGGACACAGAAGUCACUCCAACAGAUACAAUGAGCAGCUCAUUAGACAUAAGUAAAGGACAACUCUCUUCCCUCUUGAACUUUUGAUCUUGGUUAUUUUUUUUCCUGGAGCCAUUUUUCUUAUAACGUUAUUACAUUCUCC
rnacentral:lncRNA from 1 species